GAAGGUGUAUCUAGAAAGACAAAUUAGAGCUUGAAAAGUAAAGCAUUUCAUUUACAUUGAAAAGUAUAUUGUGUGAUUCAAUUUAAUUUGAUAAUAAAAAUUUAUUAAUUUUUUUUUGUUUAAAAGUUUAUUUAAUAAAAUUAAUUUUAAAUUAAGUUUUUUUUUGUAUAGUAUAUAGAUUAAAUAAUUUAUAUAAUAGUUAAUUAGUAUUGUAAAAGAAUAUUGAAAUAUAUGAAAAAGUUUUAAAUUAAAAGUAAAUUUUAUAUAUUGUACCUUGUGUAUCAGGGUUUAUUAAUUAAAAGUUAAUAAAUUUAAUUUUUCUCGAAUUUAAGAGAGUUAAUUUAUUAUUUAAUUUUUUGUCUCAUAAAAAUUUAAAAUAAUAAGUUAGAAAUGAAAUGUUAUUCGUUCUUAAAUAUAUCUAGUUUUUUAAGAAAUAAAUUAAAUUUAGAUUAUUAAUAGAUAAUUAUUUAUUUAAAUAAUGAAUUAUUAUUAAUAAUUAAUAUUUUAAGGGAUAAGCUUUAAAGUAAGUUUUAUAAUAAUUUUUUAAUUUGAAAAUUAUAGGUUUAGAAAUAGUCAUUAAUUAUAAAAAUGUUAUAAUUUAUUUUAAAUUAAAAAUAAUUUUUAUUAAUUUAAGUUUUUAUUAAAAUAAUUUUUAAAAUUAUAUAAAAAUUAAAAUAAUGAUAAAAUUAGUAUAUUUGAUUGUUUUAAAUAAAUGAAUUGAAAGGUUAAAUUAAGGAACUUGGCAAAUAAAUACUCGCCUGUUUAACAAAAACAUGUCUUUUUGAAAAUAAUUUAAAGUCUAAUCUGCCCACUGAAAAAUUUUAAAGGGCCGCGGUAUU
rnacentral:rRNA from 1 species